AAAAAAAUCUUUAGUUAGAACUUAUAACUUUAUCUGUUUCUCAGAUAGAAACUGCAUUUCUGUUGAAGAGAAAGAUAAUAUUUGUGUCCUCAAAAUGGAGCUAUCAUUGACUGAAAAGGAAGCCCUGGAAGAAAUUAAAAGAAGGUUGGACAGAGAAUUGACGCCUAAGCUCAGAGCUGACGAGAGCUUAUAUCUUAGAUUUUUACGAGCUCGAGAUUUCAAAGUUAAUCUAGCAGAAGAUAUGUUGCGCAAAGUAAGUAAUAUUAUAUGAAGUUAUUUACAUGGUUAUACAUUUGCUGAAGGGCUCUUAAAAUAUAGCGUAAGCAUAUUUUUAACAAUUUUGGUCUCUUCACUUAUCGGCAAAAAUGAGCAAAUCACCCUCUCGUAAGACAAAGUACGCACCCGCCCCUAUAUUUUGCUUUUGAAUUUUGACUUCAGUGAUGAUCUAAUUUUGGAAUUAAAUUCAAAUUGGAGAAAGAACUUUACUUAUUACAAAUUUUUCGGUUAAUUUUAUAAAAUUUGAGUACUUUUAAGAACCUUUGUGCUCGAAAUUCUUGACCUCCAAAAUUUCAAAUUUAUCCGUUGCUCUUGUCAUUUUUCGCUAACUUUUUUUAUUUUGCUAUAUACGUCCACAUUACUGACAUCAGUCCUCCCUUUGCUGGGUGCUUAUAGUUUGUCUAAAGCAAGAACUCCCCUAGCCAUUCGUCUGAACCCAUGGCGGUGGCUAUGGUAACGAGGUGUAACUAUCUCAAGUAGGGGUGCGGGUUCAUUGUUUAGGGCAGGUUUUGGCUCGUGUUGACGAGAGAAAUGGAAUCUUUUUCUUCAGUCUACUGUGCUAGCCCUAGAGUGCACUGUGGGCCAGAAGACCAUAAUCUUUGGCCA
rnacentral:misc_RNA from 1 species